AGGAUCAUUAUUGAAAUAAACCUGAUAAGUUGUUGCUGGUUCUCUAGGGAGCAUGUGCACACUUAUCAUCUUUGUAUCUUCACCUGUGCACAUUUUGUAGACCUGAGUAUCUCUCUGAAUGCUUUAUGGCACUCAGGAUUGAGAGUUGACUUUUUGUCUCUUCUUAUAUUCUCAGGUCUAUGUUUUUCAUAUACCCCAAUGUAUGUUUAUAGAAUGUAAUUAAUAGGCCUUUGUGCCUAUAAACCUUUACAACUUUCAGCAACGGAUCUCUUGGCUCUCGCAUCGAUGAAGAACGCAGCGAAAUGCGAUAAGUAAUGUGAAUUGCAGAAUUCAGUGAAUCAUCGAAUCUUUGAACGCACCUUGCGCUCCUUGGUAUUCCGAGGAGCAUGCCUGUUUGAGUGUCAUUAAUAAUAUCAACCUCUUUGGUUGGAUGUGGGUUUGCUGGCCUUUUUGAGGUCAGCUCCCCUUAAAUGCAUUAGCGGACAACAUUUUGCCAACUGUUCUUUGGUGUGAUAAUUAUCUACGCCAUUGAUGUGAAGCAAAGGUUCGGCUUCUAACAGUCCAUUGACUUGGACAAACUCUCUUCUUAUUAAUGUGACCUCAAAUCAGG
rnacentral:rRNA from 1 species